rnacentral:lncRNA from 1 species
GACAUGGGGUAGCUGCUUCUUCAGAGAGGAGCUUUGGCUACACCCACUGAUUGCAUUCAAUGCUGAAGCCUCGUCCUGUCUCCCAGCUGGUUGCUCAGCGGGUAGCGCCGCAGUUCGCCUCGCCCACGCUGCUGCCCAAGAAGGACAAGAAGGACAGAACGGACCAGGAGAAGAAUGACAAAGAGCCCACAGUGAAGAAGAACAGCCACAAGAAGAUGAGGUAAACAUUCACAGAUAAACAACUGUUUAUCAUGAACCUGUUGCAUUUAACCUGUAGUAGUAGUAUGAUAGUGUGAGUAGUAGUAUGAUAGUGUGAUUAGUAGUAUGAUAGUGUGUAGUAGUAGUAUGAUAGUGUGAGUAGUAGUAUGAUAGUGUGAGUAGUAGUAUGAUAGUGUGAGUAGUAGUAUGAUAGUGUGAGUAGUAGUAUGAUAGUGUGAGUAGUAGUAUGAUAGUGUGAGUAGUAGUAUGAUGGUGUGAUUAGUAGUAUGAUAGUGUGAGUAGUAGUAUGAUAGUGUGAUUAGUAGUAUGAUAGUGUGAGUAGUAGUAUGAUAGUGUGAGUAGUAGUAUGAUAGUGUGAGUAGUAGUAUGAUAGUGUGAGUAGUAGUAUGAUAGUGUGAGUAGUAGUAUGAUAGUGUGAGUAGUAGUAUGAUAGUGUGAAUAGUAGUAUGAUAGUGUGAGUAGUAGUAUGAUAGUGUGAGUAGUAGUAUGAUAGUGUGACAGUAGUAGUAUGAUAGUGUGACUAGUAGUAGUAUGAUAGUGUGACUAGUAGUAGUAUGAUAGUGUGACUAGUAGUAGUAUGAUAGUGUGAUUAGUAGUAGUAUCAGUAUGUUAGUGUGAUUAGUAGUAGUAGUAUGAUAGUGUGAUUAGUAGUAGUAGUAUGAUAGUGUGAUUAGUAGUAGUAUGGUGUGAGUAGUAGUAGUAUGAUAGUGUGUUUAGUAGUAGUAGUAGUAUGAUAGUGGGAUUAGUAGUAGUAGUAUGAUAGUGUGAGUAGUAGUAUGGUGUGAUUAGUAGUAGUAGUAGUAUGAUGGUGUGAUUAGUAGUAUGAUAGUGUGAGUAGUAGUAGUAUGGUAGUGUGAUUAGUAGUAUGAUAGUGUGAUUAGUAGUAUGAUGGUGUGAUUAGUAGUAUGAUGGUGUGAGUAGUAGUAUGAUAGUGUGAGUAGUAGUAUGAUGGUGUGAGUAGUAGUAGUAUGGUAGUGUGAUUAGUAGUAUGAUAGUGUGAGUAGUAGUAUGAUAGUGUGAUUAGUAGUAUGAUGGUGUGAGUAGUAGUAUGAUAGUGUGAGUAGUAGUAUGGUGGUGUGAUUAGUAGUAGUAGUAGUAGUAGUAGUAGUAGGAUGGUGUGAUUAGUAGUAUGAUAGUGUGAGUAGUAGUAUGAUAGUGUGAUUAGUAGUAUGAUAGUAUGAUUAGUAGUAGUAGUAGUAGUAUGAUGGUGUGAUUAGUAAUAUGAUAGUGUGAUUAGUAGUAUGAUGGUGUGAUUAGUAGUAUGAUAGUGUGAUUAGUAGUAUGAUAGUGUGAUUAGUAGUAGUAUGAUAGUGUGAUUA